rnacentral:rRNA from 1 species
GGGUGAGUAACACGUAUGCAAUCCACCUGUAACAGGGGGAUAACCCGGAGAAAUCCGGACUAAUACCCCAUAAUAUGGGUUCUCCGCAUGGAGGGUCCAUUAAAGAGAGCAAUUUUGGUUACAGACGAGCAUGCGCUCCAUUAGCCAGUUGGCGGGGUAACGGCCCACCAAAGCGACGAUGGAUAGGGGUUCUGAGAGGAAGGUCCCCCACAUUGGAACUGAGACACGGUCCAAACUCCUACGGGAGGCAGCAGUGAGGAAUAUUGGUCAAUGGUCGGCAGACUGAACCAGCCAAGUCGCGUGAGGGAAGACGGCCCUACGGGUUGUAAACCUCUUUUGUCGGAGAGUAAAGUACGCUACGUGUAGCGUAUUGCAAGUAUCCGAAGAAAAAGCAUCGGCUAACUCCGUGCCAGCAGCCGCGGUAAUACGGAGGAUGCAAGCGUUAUCCGGAUUUAUUGGGUUUAAAGGGUGCGUAGGCGGCACGCCAAGUCAGCGGUGAAAUUUCCGGGCUCAACCCGGACUGUGCCGUUGAAACUGGCGAGCUAGAGUGCACAAGAGGCAGGCGGAAUGCGUGGUGUAGCGGUGAAAUGCAUAGAUAUCACGCAGAACCCCGAUUGCGAAGGCAGCCUGCUAGGGUGCGACAGACGCUGAGG